UACGUAGGGGGCAAGCGUUGUCCGGAAUCAUUGGGCGUAAAGCGCGCGUAGGCGGCCCGGUAAGUCCGCUCUGAAAGUCCAGGGCUCAACCCUGGAAAGCGGGUGGAUACUGCCGGGCUAGAGUCCGGAAGAGGCGAGUGGAAUUCCUGGUGUAGCGGUGGAAUGCGCAGAUAUCAGGAGGAACACCGGUGGCGAAGGCGGCAUCCUGGACCGAGAUUGACGCUGAUGCGCGAAAGCCAGGGGAGCAAACGGG
rnacentral:rRNA from 1 species